rnacentral:rRNA from 1 species
GCGUCGGUUUUUACCC